AAUCAACGCUGGCGGCGUGCCUCAGACAUGCAAGUCGAACGCGAAAGUUUCCUUCGGGAAGCGAGUAGAGUGGCGUCCGGGUGAGUAACACGUAGGUAAUCUACCUUUGGGUGGGGAAUAACAACCGGAAACGGUUGCUAAUACCGCAUAAUGCAGCGGCACCACAUGGUGACAGUUGUUAAAGCGGGGGAGUCGCAAGACCUCGCGCCUAAAG
rnacentral:rRNA from 1 species